AAACCGUAACUGAAAAAAGCGAUUUUAAACCGCGAGAGGUAGAUCUGAAACAAAUUAUGACACUUACAGCUGCUUGAAGUCGCAGCCUCGCAGUUAGGGAACACAUUCGCCGACUCGAUCUGAAAUUGAGAGCUGCUUGCAGUCGCAGCAGCAUUGCAGCCAUCGUAGCAAGUGGAGUAGGCACUGUCGCAGGGGCUGGAGCAGCUAUAGCAGUCUCUUGCUGACAAGGGACGGAAUUCAACUGAACCAAAAUGAUUUCGACCCGUUGAAUUGUAGUCUGCUAACUGAUCUGUAAGAGAGAGAGAGAAA